rnacentral:rRNA from 1 species
CCUACGGGAGGCAGCAGUGGGGAAUAUUGCACACUGGCCGAAAGCCUGAUGCAGCAACGCCGCGUGAGCGAUGAAGGCCUUCGGGUCGUAAAGCUCUUUCCGCAAGGGAGAUAAUGACGGUACUUGAGGAGGAAGCCCCGGCUAACUACGUUCCAGAAGCCGCGGUAAUACGUAGGGGGCUAGCGUUAUCCGGAGUUACGGGGCGUAAAGGGUGCGUAGGUGGUUUUUUAAGUCAGAGGUGAAAGGCUACGGCUCAACCGUAGUAAGCCUUUGAAACUGGGGAACUUGAGUGCAGGAGAGGAGAGUGGAAUUCCUAGAGUAGCGGUGAAAUGCGUAGAUAUUAGGAGGAACACCAGUAGCGAAGGCGGCUUACUGGACUGUAACUGACACUGAGGCACGAAAGCGUGGGGAGCAAACAGGAUUAGAUACCCGAGUAGUC